CGUGUAGGCGGUUGGUCAAGUCUGGUGUGAAAGCCCGGGGGCUUAACCCCGGAAGUGCACCGGAAACUAGCCAGCUAGAGCGCGAGAGGGGAGGGUGGAAUUCCUGGUGUAGCGGUGAAAUGCGUAGAUAUCAGGAGGAACACCGGUGGCGAAGGCGGCCCUCUGGUUCGUUGCUGACGCUGAGACGCGAAAGCGUGGGGAGCAAACAGGAUUAGAUACCCUGGUAGUCCACGCUGUAAACGAUGGGUACUAGGUGUUCGGGGAGUUGAUCCCCUGAGUGCCGACGUUAACGCAUUAAGUACCCCGCCUGGGGAUUACGACCGCAAGGUUAAA
rnacentral:rRNA from 1 species